rnacentral:rRNA from 1 species
GACGAACGCUGGCGGCGUGCUUAACACAUGCAAGUCGAACGAUGAACCCGGAGCUUGCACUCGGGGAUUAGUGGCGAACGGGUGAGUAACACGUGAGCAACCUGCCCCUGACUCUGGGAUAAGCGCUGGAAACGGCGUCUAAUACUGGAUAUGUCCCGUCACCGCAUGGUGUGCGGGUGGAAAGAUUUUUCGGUUGGGGAUGGGCUCGCGGCCUAUCAGCUUGUUGGUGAGGUAAUGGCUCACCAAGGCGUCGACGGGUAGCCGGCCUGAGAGGGUGACCGGCCACACUGGGACUGAGACACGGCCCAGACUCCUACGGGAGGCGGCAGUGGGGAAUAUUGCACAAUGGGCGGAAGCCUGAUGCAGCAACGCCGCGUGAGGGGUGACGGCCUUCGGGUUGUAAACCUCUUUUAGCAGGGAAGAAGCGAGAGUGACGGUACCUGCAGAAAAAGCACCGGCUAACUACGUGCCAGCCGCCGCAGUAA